rnacentral:rRNA from 1 species
GAUGAACGCUGGCGGCGUGCUUAACACAUGCAAGUCGAACGAAGCACUUUAUUUGAUUUCCUUCGGGACUGAUUAUUUUGUGACUGAGUGGCGGACGGGUGAGUAACGCGUGGGUAACCUGCCUUGUACAGGGGGAUAACAGUUGGAAACGGCUGCUAAUACCGCAUAAGCGCACGGCAUCGCAUGAUGCAGUGUGAAAAACUCCGGUGGUAUAAGAUGGACCCGCGUUGGAUUAGCUAGUUGGUGAGGUAACGGCCCACCAAGGCGACGAUCCAUAGCCGACCUGGGAGGGUGACCGGCCACAUUGGGACUGCGACACGGCCCAAACUCCUACGGGAGGCAGCAGUGGGGAAUAUUGCACAAUGGGCGAAAGCCUGAUGCAGCGACGCCGCGUGAGCGAAGAAGUAUUUCGGUAUGUAAAGCUCUAUCAGCAGGGAAGAUAAUGACGGUACCUGACUAAGAAGCACCGGCUAAAUACGUG